CUUUGGCCAAAGACUUUCUAAACUCAGUCUCGUAAAUCGCAUAGAACUUCUCCUUUUCUACCAAGGUCGAUAGAUUUUAUCUAAAUACAUCCUACUCCUAAUAGUGAAUCUAAACCUAUUGUAGCCAAUAUACACAGAAAGAAUUCGAAUGUCUAGAGACCAAAAAAUUAUGUAGUCAAACUCAGUGACCUCGUUGCGAAUAGCUGAUGACACCAU
rnacentral:lncRNA from 1 species